rnacentral:lncRNA from 1 species
CCCCAAGACAGGGAGGACUAGGGAGGGCCGGGCAGGAGGACACACAUAACAGCCCCUUUCGUCCCUCCUUAUUUUAUAACCGAGAAGCCUCAGCAAAUAGUACUGGGAUUGAUUUUUCCAGCAGGUGAGUGGCCUGACAUGUGUCGGGUCCAACAACCUCUCUGGAAGAUUCCAAUAAUUGAUAUACGGCGGUGGAACCCAAGGUAUAGGAUUUCCUCCCCAGGAGUUCAAGCCCCAGCAACACUUCCCACCAGCUGUGGGACCUUGGGCAAAUUACCUCCUUUCUCCGAGCCUCAGUUUUUCCAGUCUUUAAAAUGGGGGUAACUUUGACUAUUGAAUGAGUUAACGCAGGAGUUGGCAAACUUUUUCUGUUAAGGGUCAGAGAGUAAAUAUUUUGGAUUCUGCAUGCCAUAAAGUCUCUACUUAAUUACCUAUCCCUUUCCCUGUCAUGCAAAAGCAGUCACAAACAGUGUGCCAAUGGAUGGGUGUGGCUGUGUUCUGAUAAAACUUUAUUUAUGGACACUGAAAUUUGGAUUUCAUAUAAUUUUCAUUUGUUAUGAAGUAUCUUCUUUUGACUUUUUUUCAACCAUUAAAAAAUGAAAAAAGGCCAGGGUGGCGGCUCACGCUUAUAAUCCUAGCACUUCGGGAGGCUGAGGUAGGAGGAUUGCCUGAGGACAGGAGUUUGAGACCAACCUGGGCAACAUAGUGAGACCCCCCUACCAACCUCUAUAAAAAAUUAGCCAAGCAUGGUAGCAUGUGCCUGUAGUCCCAGCUACUUGGAAGACUGAGGUGGGAGGAUUGCUUGAGCCCAGGAGACAGAGGUUGCAUGAGCUAUGAUCAUGCCACUGCCUUCCAGCCUGGAUGACAGAGUGAGACCCUAUCUCUAAAAAAAAAAAAAAAAAAAAAAAAAAGUUAGGGAAAAAACCCCACCAAAACAUUCUUAGCUCAUGGGGUUAUAGAGUUUUUUUUAACCCUCCAAGAUCCAAAAGUCAGAUGGUGGGCCAGAUUUGGCCACUGGGCUGUAGUUUGCCACCCCCAAGUUGACAGAUGAAGUGUGCUUAAUGCAGUGCUCAGCACAGGCAAACUGCUCAAUAAAUGGACCCAAUGACUAUUAUUAUUUUCUGGACUCGAAAUACCUUUUAUGGGCAUAUUUAAGAGUAAGUUAAAAAUGGGCUGGAUGUGGUGGCUCCCGCCUGUAAUCCCAGCACUUUGGGAGGCUGAGGUGGGAAGAAUUGCUUGAGGCCAGAAGUUCAAGACCAGCCUAGGCAACAUAGCCAGACCCCAUCUCUACUUAAAAAAAAAAAAAGUAGCCAGGCAUGGUGGCUCAUGCCUAUAGUCUCAGCUACUGGGAAGGUUGAGGUGGGGGAUUGCUUGGGUCUGGGAGGUUGAGACUAGAGUAAGCUGUGAUUGCGCCACUGCUCUCCAGCCAGGGUGACAAGGUGAGAACCUGUCUCUAAAAAUAAAAUAAAAUAAAAUAAAAUAACCAGGUUUGUACUGUGAAGUUCAGGUGAUAAUCAUUCCUUUUUCAGUUUAUGCUUGUAUCUGUAAACUCUUCGUGUGUUCUUUGAUCAAGUCAGGACUAUUACUUCCAUUGCAGGGAGACUGAGGCCCAGAGAGGGAAAGUGCCUUGUCCAAAGUCACACAGCUGGGACAAGGCAGAGGUGGAUCCUGAAUCCACAUGAUUCUCUGCCCAAGAGGGCCUCAGAGUCCUCUCCAGAAAUUUAUGUGUUGGAAAAUGCACUGGACUGGGAGCCACCUCAGUCCUCUCUUCCCUGAGCCUCAGUGUUUCAACCUGGAAAUGGCUGCCUUUCAAACCGCCAACUGUCUAUGGACUGUGACUCUGGGGUGACAAGAAUCUCUCUCCAUCAUCCUUUCAGUGGUUCUAAAAUCCAGGUUACACCUGAUCAGCAUUUGCCCUGCCUGGUGGCUGAGGCUUGUGGGAGCUAUCUGCUGUGCUGGCCGGAAAGGAUUUGGGAGGGAAGGUUGUAAGAUGAAGCUUGGACUGUGUUCUCUAGGUUAGGAUGAGGACUGUGAAACUGUGCGUGGUCAGUGCUGAACACCCUGGAUACUCAUUGUCAAUAUUGGAUUAUGAUUGCCAAUUAGUGACUAUGUGGCCUUGGGCGAGUCUUACUGAGCCAUCGACUCUCCUUUUCCUCAUGAUCUGGGGGAUAGUAAUGCAUACAUUAUAGAUUGGCAUGAGAAUAAAGGAAGGUACCAGUGAAAACUGAGACUUGGGGCUGGCCACAUAGCAGAUGAUUAAAAAAAAAUUGGCAUCCUUGCCGGGCACAGUUGCUCAUGCCUGUAAUCCCAGCACUUUGGGAGGCUGAGGCUGGUGGAUCACGAGGUCAGGAGAUCGAGACCAUCCUGGGUAACGCGGUGAAACCCCGUCUCUACUAAAAAUACCAAAAAAAAAUUAACAGGGCGUGGUGGGUGCCUAUAGUCCCAGCUACUCGGGAGGCUGAGGCAAGGAGAAUGGUGUGAACCCAGGAGGCGGAGCUUGCAGCGAGCCGAGAUUGCGCCACUGCACUCCAGCCUGGGUGACAGAGCGAGACUCUGUCUCAAAAAAAAAAAAAAAAAAUUGGCAUCCUUGAUAUUAUUGCUUCGUUAUUAUCAUCAUUCUACUUCAUCCUCAGUCACUGCAUUUCCAAGCCUCAUUUCUGAGGAUUGCGAAUUUCCACCAUCCAGAGUUUUAAUGGGGGAAACAUGCUGGGAGAGAACAGGAGGCUGGGGGUGUGAAUUUUAAUCCUGUCCUGGCCUUGACUCAUCAUCUGACUUCAGGCAAUUUACUUUAUUUCACUGGGCCUCAGUUUCCCACUCUUUGUGAUUGCAAUAGGUCAGAUUACAGAUUCAAUAUCAAGUGCUAAUCUGGAUUAGUUUCGGCUACCUGCAGCAUUGUGUCAAGAAAGACUCUGAAGGUUCCCUAGGAGGGAGUGCUGCAGUUGAUUAGCAAUGUCUGCCAUGGACUUAAGGUGAAAUAUGUUUUGGUGGGAGCCCCGCGUGGUUGAUAAUCCUAGAAAAGAUGACCAGCUCCUUUCAGCCCCAAAUUUACAUCAGUCUAUGGAACCUGCCUACUUGAAACUGAUAGGGCUUGCCUUUUGUAAGAAAACUAGUUGUCAUGGCAGCCACUGAUGCAGACUGGGAGAGACUUUGUAGAUUAUUUUUCUAGAUCAGUAUUGUCCCAUAGAACUUUCUGGAAUGAUGGAAAUGUCCUCCAUAGGCCCUGUCCUGUACAGUAUCCACUGGCCACACACAGCUGUCAAACACUUGAAAUAUUGCUAGUCAUGAAUGAGGAAUUUAUUUUUAAUUAAUUAAUUAAUUAUUUUUAGAGACAGAGUCACACUGUGUGGCCCAGGCUGGAGUGCAGUGGCAUGAUCAUAGCCUACUGCAGCCUCAAACUCCUGGGCUCAAGUGAUCCUCCUGCCUUGGCCUCCCAAAGUGCUGGGAUUAUAGGCGUGCAACACCAUGCCUGGCCAAUUUUCAAAUUUUAUUUAAAAAAUGUGAAAGCUGCACAUGGCUAGUGGCUACCAUGUUGGACAACCCAACUCUAGACUCAUGGAGCUCCUGAGCUUGUAGGAGCUCCCAAGGCAUCUACUUGUUACACCCCAGUGUGCAUAAAGUCUGGGUGGGUCCUUGGGUAAAAGCCUGUUGCUUGGCAACCGACACCAAGCAGUACUCUCUGUAGCUCUACCCACAGGCAGCUGGAAACCACCUCUGCAGGAGUUUUGCUCAGGUGGGUGAGCUCUGCAUAGGAGGGUAAAUGCUUUUGUCUUUUGCAUUGCAUGCCUCCCUGGGGGCCUGGUUCUCCAGGGCUCAGACCCUGUAAGUGGGUGAGACCUGGCUUGAAUCAGACUCUCUCCCUAACCCCUGGAUGAGUAUGCCCAUCUCUCACCCUCUGUGACAAUCCAGGAAACAUGAAGGUGUUUCCAGAUGCAGAGUCGGUGGGCCAAAGGGGAAGGCAGGAUGAUGGGUGUUUGGGAGAGUGGGAGACAUGUUUUAUUUUUCCUUCCCUCCUUCUCUCCCUUCUUCCCUCCUCCUCUCCUUGUCUGUCUCUCUUUCUGGUGUGGGGAAAAAGUAGAAGAUGCUUUGGAAACUGAUAUGGCUUCAUCCUGAGUUGGCUGCUCCCUUGCUGUGUGGUGUUGGGCAAGUCACCCCACGUCUCUGAACCUGUUUCUGCAUCCUUUAAAAAGGAAUAACAGUCCCUGCCUUUGAAGGGAGGACCCGAUGAAGUAAUAUACAUGAAAUGCUUAGAAUAGUGCCUGGCAUGUGGUUCUCUUCCCUGGGAAAAAAUUACCCUCCAAUUUGCUGAUACUGUCUCUCUCUUUCUCUCUUUUUUUUCUUUUUGUCAAAACCCCCCAAACCCUUAACCAACACCUCCACCCACCCAACCUUGCCUGCCCAGAGAUGUUGUUGGAGCGGUGGAGGGUAAUUUCACCGAUUUCCAUGCUUGGAAUUGACUUAAAUCUCAUCUCAGAGAUUAUCCCUGUAGGUCCAGUCUCAGGGCUGGGUGGCAUGUUGGUUGGGAAGGUGGCCUUUCUGGGUGAUCACACUGGGCAGGAGGAAAUUGCUGGCACUUGUCAGCUCAUCCCAGGGGACUCCUGCAUUUUUGUCUUUAUUACAGGCACCUCCAUUUCGGGGUUUUUGCACACACCAGUAGGGUCUAAAAUAAACAAGAACUCUAACCUUCAAACUUUGAAGGAAGUCUGUUGGCUGGGCUGGGGUUGUGGGAAGUGAGUGGAUAUAAUUCCUUAAUCUCUACAUGGUUUGUGAGAGGGCGUCGCCCCUCUCAGUAAAUUUGGCAAGCCUUCCAAUUAAGUCUUGUAUUAUUGGCACCCAGGAAGCCUUGAAAAGCUCCUUUUCAGGUCUGUCCGGGGGCUCAGGUGAUGUGGUGUGAGUCUUUCUCAUUUUAGGGACUCUUUAGGGUUUGUUCCUGUUCCCAGGAAUUGAUGUAGUCAGCACACUGAGGGCCUACUAUAUGUCAGGUGCUAGGGUCAGAGUGGGAAGUAAAUAGGUGAUACAAGGCCCCUAGUUUCAUGGAACUCAUACUCUUGGGGCCAUGGCAGAGAGCAGGGCAAGAAGGAAAAGUUUAGCACAAUUAGGGUUGGUGUGAGGUGUC